ACAGUGCAAGCAGUAGCAGUGCAAGAUUGCAAUAUGAGACUAUCAGUGGUAUUCUUGGUCUUGAUGAUAGUAGUGUGUGCAAUGUUCCAGGGAUCUGAAUCCAUUCCUCAUCAUGGACAUCAUGGACAUCGUCCUAAUCGAUGUAGAAGCACAACAGAAAGUGUAACAACAACGUUGAUAGACUCCACUACUUGAACCUUAUGUCUAUCUCGUCAUGAAAUAGAAAAGUUGUUGUGUCUUACAUAACUGUUGUUUAGUUUUUAGUCAGUUGAUCGGUAAUGUAACGCUUCUCCUAGUAGCUAUAUAAAAAAAUUAAUUAAAGCUAGGGGUAAAAAAUUAAUUAGUAAGUAGUCUAUCCUAGAUCGGACACAGCGACUAAAUAGCAAAUAAAAAAUAAAAAAAAAAAUAAAAUAAAACAUUUAUCUUCUU